GACGAACGCUGGCGGCGUGCCUAAUACAUGCCAGUCGAACGAACCGCGACUAGGUGCUUGCACUUGGUCAAGGUGAGUGGCGAACGGGUGAGUAACACGUGGGUAACCUACCUCAUAGUGGGGGAUAACAGUCGGAAACGACUGCUAAUACCGCAUAGGACAUAGGAUCACAUGAUUCUGUGAGGAAAGGUGGCGCAAGCUAUCGCUAAGAGAUGGACCCGCGGUGCAUUAGCUAGUUGGUAGGGUAAAGGCCUACCAAGGCGAUGAUGCAUAGCCGACCUGAGAGGGUGAUCGGCCACAUUGGGACUGAGACACGGCCCAAACUCCUACGGGAGGCAGCAGUAGGGAAUCUUCCGCAAUGGACGCAAGUCUGACGGAGCAACGCCGCGUGAGUGAAGAAGGUCUUCGGAUCGUAAAGCUCUGUUGUUAGAGAAGACCAGCGCAUAGAGUAACUGUUAUGCGUGUGACGGUAUCUAACCAGAAAGCCACGGCUAACUACGUG
rnacentral:rRNA from 1 species